rnacentral:lncRNA from 1 species
GUGCUAUUUAAAGGAAAAGAAUUGCAGUGAAGUAAUAGUUUGACGGCUCCUGAACUGCAGUGUAUACUCCUAGAUGAACCAAAGAUUGAUAAAUUCAAGCAAAGCAUGAGAAUUAUCAGACUAAAAAUAUGAAUGAGUUGAGAUUACAGCAGGAUUCAGAGAUAAGCAGAACUGCCAAAACUAAGCCUGGAAGAUUUAAAUUAUUAAUGAGGUCUUGAUAGAUGUAAUUUACUACAUAC